rnacentral:rRNA from 1 species
CGAACGGGUGAGUAACACGUGAGCAAUCUGCCCCUGACUCUGGGAUAAGCGCUGGAAACGGCGUCUAAUACCGGAUACGAGCUGCGAAGGCAUCUUCAGCAGCUGGAAAGAAUUUCGGUCAGGGAUGAGCUCGCGGCCUAUCAGCUUGUUGGUGAGGUAACGGCUCACCAAGGCGUCGACGGGUAGCCGGCCUGAGAGGGUGACCGGCCACACUGGGACUGAGACACGGCCCAGACUCUCUACGGGAGGCAGCAGUGGGGAAUAUUGCACAAUGGGCGAAAGCCUGAUGCAGCAACGCCGCGUGAGGGACGACGGCCUUCGGGUUGUAAACCUCUUUUAGCAGGAAAGAAGCGAAAGUGACGGUACCUGCAGAAAAAGCGCCGGCUAACUACGUGCCAGCAGCCGCGGUAAUACGUAGGGCGCAAGCGUUAUCCGGAAUUAUUGGGCGUAAAGAGCUCGUAGGCGGUCUGUCGCGUCUGCUGUGAAAACCCGAGGCUCAACCUCGGGCCUGCAGUGGGUACGGGCAGACUAGAGUGCGGUAGGGGAGAUUGGAAUUCCUGGUGUAGCGGUGGAAUGCGCAGAUAUCAGGAGGAACACCGAUGGCGAAGGCAGAUCUCUGGGCCGUAACUGACGCUGAGGAGCGAAAGGGUGGGGAGCAAACAGGCUUAGAUACCCUGGUAGUCCACCCCGUAAACGUUGGGAACUAGUUGUGGGGUCCAUUCCACGGAUUCCGUGACGCAGCUAACGCAUUAAGUUCCCCGCCUGGGGAGUACGGCCGCAAGGCUAAAACUCAAAGGAAUUGACGGGGACCCGCACAAGCGGCGGAGCAUGCGGAUUAAUUCGAUGCAACGCGAAGAACCUUACCAAGGCUUGACAUAUACGAGAACGGGCCAGAAAUGGUCAACUCUUUGGACACUCGUAAACAGGUGGUGCAUGGUUGUCGUCAGCUCCGGUGUCGUGAGAUGUUGGGUUAAGUCCCGCAACGAGCGCAACCCUCGUUCUAUGUUGCCAGCACGUAAUGGUGGGAACUCAUGGGAUACUGCCGGGGUCAACUCGGAGGAAGGUGGGGAUGACGUCAAAUCAUCAUGCCCCUUAUGUCUUGGGCUUCACGCAUGCUACAAUGGCCGGUACAAAGGGCUGCAAUACCGCGAGGUGGAGCGAAUCCCAAAAAGCCGGUCCCAGUUCGGAUUGAGGUCUGCAACU